rnacentral:rRNA from 1 species
GAUGAACGCUAGCGGGAGGCCUAACACAUGCAAGCCGAGCGGUAGAGAUCUUUCGGGAUCUUGAGAGCGGCGUACGGGUGCGGAACACGUGUGCAACCUGCCUUUAUCAGGGGGAUAGCCUUUCGAAAGGAAGAUUAAUACCCCAUAAUAUAUUGAAUGGCAUCAUUUGAUAUUGAAAACUCCGGUGGAUAGAGAUGGGCACGCGCAAGAUUAGAUAGUUGGUAGGGUAACGGCCUACCAAGUCAGUGAUCUUUAGGGGGCCUGAGAGGGUGAUCCCCCACACUGGUACUGAGACACGGACCAGACUCCUACGGGAGGCAGCAGUGAGGAAUAUUGGACAAUGGGUGAGAGCCUGAUCCAGCCAUCCCGCGUGAAGGACGACGGCCCUAUGGGUUGUAAACUUCUUUUGUAUAGGGAUAAACCUUUCCACGUGUGGAAAGCUGAAGGUACUAUACGAAUAAGCACCGGCUAACUCCGUGCCAGCAGCCGCGGUAAUACGGAGGGUGCAAGCGUUAUCCGGAUUUAUUGGGUUUAAAGGGUCCGUAGGCGGAUCUGUAAGUCAGUGGUGAAAUCUCAUAGCUUAACUAUGAAACUGCCAUUGAUACUGCAGGUCUUGAGUAAAGUAGAAGUGGCUGGAAUAAGUAGUGUAGCGGUGAAAUGCAUAGAUAUUACUUAGAACACCAAUUGCGAAGGCAGGUCACUAUGUUUUAACUGACGCUGAUGGACGAAAGCGUGGGGAGCGAACAGGAUUAGAUACCCUGGUAGUCCACGCCGUAAACGAUGCUAACUCGUUUUUGGGUUUUCGGAUUCAGAGACUAAGCGAAAGUGAUAAGUUAGCCACCUGGGGAGUACGUUCGCAAGAAUGAAACUCAAAGGAAUUGACGGGGGCCCGCACAAGCGGUGGAUUAUGUGGUUUAAUUCGAUGAUACGCGAGGAACCUUACCAAGGCUUAAAUGGGAAUUGACAGGUUUAGAAAUAGACUUUUCUUCGGACAAUUUUCAAGGUGCUGCAUGGUUGUCGUCAGCUCGUGCCGUGAGGUGUUAGGUUAAGUCCUGCAACGAGCGCAACCCCUGUCACUAGUUGCCAUCAUUCAGUUGGGGACUCUAGUGAGACUGCCUACGCAAGUAGAGAGGAAGGUGGGGAUGACGUCAAAUCAUCACGGCCCUUACGCCUUGGGCCACACACGUAAUACAAUGGCCGGUACAGAGGGCAGCUACCUAGCGAUAGGAUGCGAAUCUCGAAAGCCGGUCUCAGUUCGGAUUGGAGUCUGCAACUCGACUCUAUGAAGCUGGAAUCGCUAGUAAUCGCAUAUCAGCCAUGAUGCGGUGAAUACGUUCCCGGGCCU